GGGGGGGGGAGCGGGGAGGCGACCGCGCCGCGGCAGGGGCGCGCACGGACUCCGGCACGGGAAGAGCACCGCGCCGAGGUUUUCCAGCUCAGCCCGGACCACGUCCAGGCCUUCAGUUGACGCUGUGAUGCCGUGAUACCGCCCACACUAAAGUGGGCCUUCCCACCUCCACUAAAUCUUUCGGGAAACACCCUGGCAGACACACCUAGAAGCCUGUCUCCCAGGUGAUCCUCUAACUCCCAUCGAGCUGUCAACCACACGGCCUGAAGGAUUCUCUCAAUGAAGCUGGAGUCCACUGAUGAGCUUGGCUGGCCAGUGACCCCAGACAUCCGCCGUCCCCUCUGCCAGUGCUGAGUUCUGCCACGCCAGCACGCCUGGCGUCUCGCUGUGUGUGCUAAGGAUGUGAACUCAGGUCCUUACGCUUCUGCGUCAGGCGUUUUUACCGACUGUGCCAUCUUCUCGGCCUCUUUACCCACUUAGUCCUCUAACAGCACUCAAACCCAGUUGAAUCUUCUCAGUGUGCAGACUUGGCGUCUGUCCAAUGGCAGGCUGAAUAUCCGCAUUUGGAUACACGAACCGUGGCGUGUUGGCGUCAGCUUGUGCCAGCUCAUGCCAGCUCGGGAGAGCCCAUUGUCCGCCUCACCCCCUAACUGCUUCUUCAGUGAAUCGCUGUGGAUUGUAGGAACUGGAAGCCAGUCUCUGCUGGAGUAUUCACAUCAUGGGAAUCAACAAAUGCUUGUCGUCAGCCCCGCCCCCCUCCUUGAAGAGACACUCCGUAGAGGAGCUGGUGAGAUGGCUCCAUGUGUUUCUGUGCAGGGAGGAGGACUGCAGUUUGCAUGUCUAGCACCAUGUUUAAAAAAAAGCCAUGACGUUCAGUACACACCUACAGCCUCAGCACUGAGCAACAGGGACAGACAGGUCCUGAGGAUGUGCAGAAUAACCAGCCUAGCUAAAGCAGCAAGUCCAAGCCAAGUGAGAGGCUCUGUCUCCAAACCAAAGGAGGGGGAAUAGAGGAAGCCACCUAAUGUAGACCACAGAUUUGGAAUACACAUGCAUAGGUGAGCCCAGUGCAAGCACGCGCGCGCGCGCGCGCGCACACACACACACACACACACACACACACACACACACACACUACAUACUGCUGUUCAUAGACACCUAGACAUAUUCCCAACCACGAGAAUUUUUUUAGUGUCUUUGAGACAGCGUGGCUCAGGAUGACCUUGAACUUCUGCUCUUCUGACUCUGCAUUACAAAUUCCGGGACUGCAGGGGUGGGUGCGCCACCAGGUCAAGUUCUACGUGAUGCUGGGGAUCGAACUGAGGGGCUUUGUGUGUGCUAGGCAAGCAUCCUGUCAAUUGAGCGACUUUCCACGCCUUAAAUUUUGUUGUUUGUUUUUUUGAGACAGGGUUUCUCUGUGUAGCCCUGAAUGUCCUGCAACACACUAUGUAGACCAGGCUGGCCUUGAACUCACAGAGACCUGCCUGCCUGCCCCUGCCUCCUGAGUGUUAGGACUAAAGGUGUGUGCCACCACUGUACAGUUUAAAUUUUUUUUGACAUUUGAUCUCAACAAAGUAGUCUAGGUGGGCAUCAAACUAGAGCGGUAUUCCACAGAGCUGGAGAGACUGCUCAGCACUCAGAACUGCACUUGCUGCUCCUGCAGAAGACAGGAGUUUAUUCUCAACAUUCAUGUCAGGUGACUCACGACCUCCUGUAACUCCAGCCCUGGGGAUCCUGCACCCUGGCCUCCAUUAGCGCCCAAACUCACAUGCGCAGACAGAGACAUACAUAAAUAAUAAAAGUAAAUCUUAAGAAAAGAAAAAGUUAAGCCAGGUGUGGUGGCGCACGCCUUUAAUCCCACCACUCGGGAGGCAGAGCCAGGCACAUCUCUGAGUUCGAGGCCAG